rnacentral:rRNA from 1 species
CUCUUUCUAACGGCAAUGGCCACGUUAACCAUCAUUGUUUUGGUCAUUGGUCUGACUGUUUUGUGGAGAUGCAGAACAAAGUUAUUCAGAGCAAGAACUGUGUAUGAAAACGGAAGCCUUGUGGUCUUCUCAUUUGCACAAAUAAAGAACUCAACAAAAAAAUUCUCUGAAAAACUCGGAGAAGGUGGUUUCGGCUGUGUUUUCAAGGGGACAUUGCCAGGUUCUGCUGUAGUGGCCGUCAAAAGGCUAAAAUGCCUUAGGCAAGGUGAGAAGCAGUUUCGAGCAGAGGUGCAGACCAUUGGGAUGAUUCAACACAACAAUCUUGUCCGUCUACUUGGAUUCUGUGCUGAUAGCAGUAGCAGGUUAUUGGUGUAUGAGUACAUGGAAAAAGGUUCUUUAAACUCACAUCUCUUCUGCAAGGAUUCUGCAAAACUGAGCUGGAAACUGCGGUACCAUAUAGCACUUGGAACAGCAAGAGGCCUGGCUUAUCUGCACGAGGAGUGCAAGGAUUGCAUUAUACACUGCGACAUGAAGCCGGACAAUGUACUUCUUGAUGCACAGUUCUGUCCCAAGAUUGCCGACUUUGGUAUGGCGAAGCUUCUUGGUCGAGAUUUCAGUAGGGCCCUGACAACAAUGAGAGGGACCAUCGGAUACCUUGCACCGGAGUGGAUCUCAGGGCUGCCGAUCACACACAAGGCUGACAUCUACAGCUAUGGAAUGAUGCUUUUUGAAAUCAUAUCAGGGCGAAGAAAUGCGGAGAAAAUUAAAGAAGGGAACUUUACUUACUUUCCCAUCUUUGCUGCAGUCAAGCUGCAUGAAGGGGAUGUUAUGUGCCUGUUGGAUAGAAGGUUGGAAGGCGAUGCGGAUGUGGAGCAGCUGAGCAGAGCUUGCAGAAUUGCAUGUUGGUGCAUUCAAGAUGCUGAAGAUCAUAGGCCAAUGAUGGGGCAAGUUGUUCAGAUGCUAGAAGGUGUUCUGGAUGUCGAAUUACCUCCCAUUCCAAGGUCACUGCAGAAUUUUGUGGGUAUGGAGGAUUGA